rnacentral:lncRNA from 1 species
AACAAUAUUACCAGCUGAGGAAGAAAUGCCUGCAAUUAUGGAUAGUUUCAAAAAGUUCAAUGAUGAUUUCAUGGAGCAAUAUGAUGACCAUAGAGGUUAUUCAAGGUUGUAAUGGUUUCAUCGUCUUAAAAGUUUUAUCAUACUCAUGUUCAAUUCUUCCCUUGAAAAAACACACCCUCCUUUCUGAAACCUUAGAUUUUCUUCUAUAUUUCAAUGAGAAUCUUCAUGUAUAUUUAAUCUCUGUUGCACCUUUUAUUAUUAUAUAUAUGUUGUGCCUCCAUGGCAAACAAUCAUCUUGAAUAUAAUAAUUGUCUCUGUUGUUCUUUGUCAAAAAAUAAAGUAAAUUUAUUGUGGUC